GAUGAACGCUGGCGGCGUGCCUAAUACAUGCAAGUCGAGCGAACGGACGAGAAGCUUGCUUCUCUGAUGUUAGCGGCGGACGGGUGAGUAACACGUGGAUAACCUACCUAUAAGACUGGGAUAACUUCGGGAAACCGGAGCUAAUACCGGAUGAUAUUUUGAACCGCAUGGUUCAAAAGUGAAAGACGGUCUUGCUGUCACUUAUAGAUGGAUCCGCGCUGCAUUAGCUAGUUGGUAAGGUAACGGCUUACCAAGGCAACGAUGCAUAGCCGACCUGAGAGGGUGGUCGGCCACACGGGAUCUGAGACACGGUCCAGACUCCUACGGGAGGCAGCAGUAGGGAAUCUUCCGCAAUGGGCGAAAGCCUGACGGAGCAACGCCGCGUGAGUGAUGAAGGUCUUCGGAUCGUAAAACUCUGUUAUUAGGGAAGAACAUAUGUGUAAGUAACUGUGCACAUCUUGACGGUACCUAAUCAGAAAGCCACGGCUAACUACGUG
rnacentral:rRNA from 1 species